rnacentral:rRNA from 1 species
UACGUAGGGGACAAGCGUUGUCCGGAAUUAUUGGGCGUAAAGCGCGUGUAGGCGGCUCGGUAAGUCUGCUGUGAAAGUCCAGGGCUCAACCCUGGGAUGCCGGUGGAUACUGUCGAGCUCGAGUCCGGAAGAGGCGAGUGGAAUUCCUGGUGUAGCGGUGAAAUGCGCAGAUAUCAGGAGGAACACCAAUGGCGAAGGCAGCUCGCUGGGACGUGACUGACGCUGAGACGCGAAAGCGUGGGGGGCAAACAGG